GAUGAACGCUGGCGGCGUGCCUAAUACAUGCAGGUCGAGCGAACAGACGAGGAGCUUGCUCCUCUGACGUUAGCGGCGGACGGGUGAGUAACACGUGGAUAACCUACCUAUAAGACUGGGAUAACUUCGGGAAACCGGAGCUAAUACCGGAUAAUAUAUUGAACCGCAUGGUUCAAUAGUGAAAGACGGUUUUGCUGUCACUUAUAGAUGGAUCCGCGCCGCAUUAGCUAGUUGGUAAGGUAACGGCUUACCAAGGCGACGAUGCGUAGCCGACCUGAGAGGGUGAUCGGCCACACUGGAACUGAGACACGGUCCAGAUUCCUACGGGAGGCAGCAGUAGGGAAUCUUCCGCAAUGGGCGAAAGCUUGACGGAGCAACGCCGCGUGAGUGAUGAAGGUCUUCGGAUCGUAAAACUCUGUUAUUAGGGAAGAACAAAUGUGUAAGUAACUAUGCACGUCUUGACGGUACCUAAUCAGAAAGCCACGGCUAACUACGUG
rnacentral:rRNA from 1 species